UACAUAGGGUGCAAGCGUUAAUCGGAAUUACUGGGCGUAAAGCGUGCGCAGGCGGUUUUGUAAGCCAGAUGUGAAAUCCCCGGGCUUAACCUGGGAAUGGCAUUUGGGACUGCAAGGCUCGAGUGCGGCAGAGGAGACUGGAAUUCCUGGUGUAGCAGUGAAAUGCGUAGAUAUCAGGAGGAACACCGAUGGCGAAGGCAGGUCUCUGGGCUGACACUGACGCUCAUGCACGAAAGCGUGGGGAGCAAACAGG
rnacentral:rRNA from 1 species